rnacentral:rRNA from 1 species
UCACGAAAUGGUUUGAGCUAAUUAUAUAUGGUUUAUAGAUUGUACCCAGUGUGUGGUAUAAUUCUGGAAAAAGAUAUAAUUAGGAGUGAUAGGCUUUUCAAAGACCAUGAUAUCUUGAUAGCGCUGAAAUGUAUUAAGUACGUGGACAAAUAUAAAGUGUUUAGGCUUUAUAUGGACUCAAGCUUAAAUUUGAAGGGUUAAGGUUUAACCAUCUUAAGACUUAAGGCAAGAAUAUUUCUAUUUUCCCGGUUGAGGUUGCUAGGUGCUUCUGUGGAAGUUAAGUUGAAUAGUAAUAAUGUUACCAUAAGUAUAUUAAUUAAGGCGUUCAAAAUGAACUCGGCAAAUUGAUAUCCUCAACUGUUUAUCAAAAACGUAGCUAUAUGAAAUUUUUAUAUAUAGUUAUUUCUGCUCAAUGUAAUUUAUAAAUGGCCGCAGUACUCUGACUGUGCAAAGGUAGCAUAAUCAAUUGGCUUAUAAUUGAAGUCUGGUAUGAAAGAAAUAAUGGGGAGAGACUGUAUAGGGGACGUUGUUAAAAGUUACUUAAUAAGUGAAAAGACUUAUAUUUAAAUAAUAGACGAGAAGACCCUAGAAAUUUUGAUCAUGCUAUAUUCAUUCAUGUAUUUUUUUGUUGGGGCGACACGGUAGCAUGAUAACCUACUAAGAGCAAUAGGAUUAUUGUAUUAUGUAUAAUUAAAUUACUCUAGGGAUAACAGCAUAAUAUUUAAAAGUUUGUGACCUCGAUGUUGGACUAGGAAACUAUCACCCAGAAGGUAAUUAGUAAAGCUCUGUUCGAGCAAUGUAUUCCUACAUGAUCUGAGUUCAGACCGGCGUAAGCCAGGUCAGUUUCU